rnacentral:lncRNA from 1 species
UCAGAUGUCUCCAUAUUAUUAAGCCAUUUGGAAGGUUGAAGUCCUUGAAAAUUGCAAGAUGUUCUUAUUGUUAGCAUUAAAACAUAUUACAUAAUCCAAGACAAGAAGGGAUAGGCUAUAAGUGAGGGCUAUGCUGUGUAACUCCCCUAUUGAAAUGAUUCACCACCUGUUCGUUUCUUGUCUGUUUGUCAGCUUCCAUUUGGAAAGACUAUAAGUGUCUCAAUAAGCAUGCGAACCUACUCCACUAACUUCUACAUGGACUCCAUAGAGAUGUAAAAGAGUUUCUUGAAAAAGCUUGUGAUCAACUCACUACUGCCUAGUGCUGGCA